UUUGACUGGUAGUGUAUAUAUAUUCAUUGAUUGAUUUUAUAUUAUUAAUGAUUGCACACACAACCCAGAAAGACAGGUGUCUGUGAACACAGCCUAUAAAGUUUAUAGUCGUACUAUAUAAAGCUUGUAUAUAUUAUAAUGAUAGUCAAACUAUCAUUUAUGGUGCAGAAUUACAAUAAAAAAACUGCCAAACUGCAGCCUAAUAGAUUAAGAGUAAACAAAAAAAGCUAGCUGUAUUUAAUUAUGAUUUAUUAUGUCAGCAUGUAUAAACUAUCAUGUAGUGGCUCAAACAUUAUGCAACAAAAUCAUAUUUUUCAUUCAUCUCUAGGUAUUCUGGAUUGAUAGUCGGGCCGUGUGUGUGUGUGUGUGGAGGGGGCUGGGGCGGUGCCUCCGUGAGACACACAGUCUGUGGUGGUGACGGUGAUUGAACGAUAAACGCAAUGAAAGCUAUAGCGUUUUUGACUGACCUUCCCUCCUGGUGAACAUGUCGCUGCAUCUCUGACAAGGGUUUUCCGUUUUCUGUCCCUCUCUCUCUCUGCUCCACCUUUCCUUUUCUUCUGUCCCUCCAUUUCUCUCAACUACUAGAGUGAAGACAGUGGAGCUAAUUGAUUGUUGUGUGACACCACCAGGUCACCGAGCUGCGUCAUUACGUAACUAGAUGGAUUGAUUUGAUUGGCCCGGGCGUCCGGUAACUCCAGUCCAGUGACUGUUUAAGUCAGGCCAGGAUGGCCAUCGGGAGCACCGGGAAGCGUCAGUCCGCCACUGCACACAGGUCACCGAGCUGCGUCAUUACGUAACUAGAUGGAUUGAUUUGAUUGGCCCGGGCGUCCGGUAACUCCAGUCCAGUGACUGUUUAAGUCAGGCCAGGAUGGCCAUCGGGAGCACCGGGAAGCGUCAGUCCGCCACUGCACACAGACACAACAACUUGGUGUCAGAAGUGGGAUCUACGAGUGAUCUUCUGAGCACUGUCCGAGAUUGUCUGCUCCCUUUUGGUCACAACCGUGCGG